UACAGAUGGUGCAAGCGUUGUUCGGAAUCAUUGGGCGUAAAGGGCGCGUAGGCGGUUGAUUAAGUUGAAUGUGAAAGCCCGGGGCUCAACCUCGGAAGUGCAUUCAAAACUAGUCGACUAGAGUUCCGCAGAGGAUGGUAGAAUUCCCAGUGUAGAGGUGAAAUUCGUAGAUAUUGGGAGGAAUACCAGUGGCGAAGGCGACCAUCUGGACGGAUACUGACGCUGAGGCGCGAAAGCGUGGGUAGCAAACAGG
rnacentral:rRNA from 1 species